GCUUAUGGCCAUACCAUCCUGAACACACCCGAUCUCGUCUGAUCUCAGAAGCUAAGAGAAUUUUACUAGCCUAAAAUACUGAGGUGCAGACUUCUUGUACCGUCUGUAAGUGCAGUGACCC
rnacentral:rRNA from 1 species